CCUACGGGAGACAGCAGUGAGGAAUAUUGGUCAAUGGGCGGGAGCCUGAACCAGCCAAGUCGCGUGAGGGAAGACGGUCCUACGGAUUGUAAACCUCUUUUGCCGGGGAGCAACGGGGUCCUUGCGAGGGCCCGAUGAGAGUACCCGGAGAAAAAGCAUCGGCAAACGCCGUGCCAGCAGCCGCGGUAAUACGGAGGAUGCGAGCGUGUUCCGGAUUUAUUGGGGUAAAGGGGUGCGUAGGCGGGCUGUUAAGUCAGCGGUCAAAUGUCGGGGCUCAACCCCGGCCUGCCGUUGAAACUGGCGGCCUGGAGUGGAGGAGAGGUAUGCGGAAUGCGUGGUGUAGCGGUGAAAUGCAUAGAUAUCACGAAGAACUCCGAUUGCGAAGGCAGCAUACCG
rnacentral:rRNA from 1 species